AUUGAACGCUGGCGGCAUGGAUUAGGCAUGCAAGUCGAACGAGAAGCUCUAGCUUGCUAGAGUAGAGAGUGGCGAAAGGGUGAGUAACACGUGAAUAAUCUGCCCUCAAGUCGGGGAUAGCCUCUGGAAACGGAGAUUAAUACCGGAUGUGGAUUUAAGAUCGCAUGGUCUUUUACCUAAAAUCUUUUUGCUUGAGGAUGAGUUCGCGGCCCAUUAGCUUGUUGGUAAGGUAACGGCUUACCAAGGCUUUGACGGGUAGGUGGUCUGAGAGGAUGGUCACCCACACUGGGACUGAGACACUGCCCAG
rnacentral:rRNA from 1 species